rnacentral:rRNA from 1 species
CCUACGGGAGGCAGCAGUGAGGAAUAUUGGUCAAUGGACGAGAGUCUGAACCAGCCAAGUAGCGUGAAGGAUGACUGCCCUAUGGGUUGUAAACUUCUUUUAUAUGGGAAUAAAAUGUUCCACGUGUGGGAUUUUGUAUGUACCAUAUGAAUAAGGAUCGGAUAACUCCGUGCCAGCAGCCGCGGUACUACGGAGGAUCCGAGCGUUAUCCGGAUUUAUUGGGUUUAAAGGGAGCGUAGGUGGAUUGUUAAGUCAGUUGUGAAAGUUUGCGGCUCAACCGUAAAAUUGCAGUUGAAACUGGCAGACUUGAGUACAGUAGAGGUGGGCGGAAUUCGUGGUGUAGCGGUGAAAUGCGUAGAUAUCACGAAGAACUCCGAUGGCGAAGGCAGCUCACUGGACUGCAACUGACACUGAGGCUCGAAAGUGUGGGUAUCAAACAGGAUUAGAUACCCCUGUAGUC